rnacentral:rRNA from 1 species
AGCAGCCGCGGUAAUUCCAGCUCCAAUAGCGUAUAUUAAAGUUGUUGCAGUUAAAAAGCUCGUAGUUGAAUUUCGGGGUCAGUAGGUCGGUCGUGCCAACGGUAUGAACUGGUCUCACUGAUUCCUCCCUCUUGUAGAACCGUGAUGCCAUUAAUUUGGUGUUGCGGGGAAACAGGACUGUUACUUUGAAAAAAUUAGAGUGUUUAAAGCAAGCUAACGCUUGAAUACAUUAGCAUGGAAUAAUGAAAUAGGACGUCUGUCUUAUUUUGUUGGUUUCUAGGAUGGACGUAAUGAUUAAUAGGGAUAGUUGGGGGCAUUAGUAUUCAAUUGUCAGAGGUGAAAUUCUUGGAUUUAUUGAAGACUAACUACUGCGAAAGCAUUUGCCAAGGAUGUUUUCAUUAAUCAAGAACGAAAGUUAGGGGAUCGAAGACGAUCAGAUACCGUCGUAGUCUUAACCAUAAACUAUGCCGACUAGGGAUCGGAUGAUGUUAAUUUUUAAUGACUCAUUCGGCGCCUUACG